rnacentral:rRNA from 1 species
UAGGGAAUCUUCGGCAAUGGACGAAAGUCUGACCGAGCAACGCCGCGCGAGUGAAGAAGGUUUUCGGAUCGUAAAACUCUGUUGUUAGAGAAGAACAAGGACGUUAGUAACUGAACGUCCCCUGACGGUAUCUAACCAGAAAGCCACGGCUAACUACGUGCCAGCAGCCGCGGUAAUACGUAGGUGGCAAGCGUUGUCCGGAUUUAUUGGGCGUAAAGCGAGCGCAGGCGGUUUCUUAAGUCUGAUGUGAAAGCCCCCGGCUCAACCGGGGAGGGUCAUUGGAAACUGGGAGAAUUGGGUGCAGAAGAGGAGUGUGGAAUUCCAUGUGUAUCGGUGAAAUGCGUAGAUAUAUGGAGGAACACCAGUGGCGAAGGCGGCUCUCUGGUCUGUAACUGACGCUGAGGCUCGAAAGCGUGGGGAGCAAACAGG